rnacentral:lncRNA from 10 species
GGCUUUCUCCUGCAUUAUCUGGUGUAACCCUUCUAUGACCCUUGGGAAGUCAGGCUUUGUUUCUGCAGAUAUACCUGGUAUAGGUAUGUAUAUGUAUGUUUAUAAAAAUGAGAUUAUAUAAUAUAUGUCAAUUUGCAAUGACUUAAAUAAGCUUCAGAUUUUAUUACAAGCAUCUUUCUAUGUCAAUAGAUCUUCAUUAACAUCACUAUUUUAAAUUCAGGCCUGGCGUGGUAUUACAGCCUCCUGUAUUUUCCGUUUCUAAUUUCUCCCCACCCUGUGGCCAAAUUAGUCCUCCCGAAGCAUAACUUGGAUCGUGUUACUCUCCUGUUGAAACCCUUUUAAAUGUUUUCCACUCCCCAUUUUCUAUAGAUAUAGUCCAAAUUACUUGACCAGGCUGGGUGCACUGGCUCACUCCUGUAAUCUCAGCACUUAGGUAGGCCAAAGUGAGUGGAUCACUUGAGCUCAGGAGUUUGAGACCAGUCUGGGAAACAUAGCGAAACCCCUUCUCUAAAACAAAAUGAAACAAAAAAAUAAAAGCAAACAAACAAAUUAUUUCACCUGAAAUUCUAGACCCUCCAUGAUACGACUCUGCCCCAACCUGCUUUUCCAUGUUAUCUUCCAUUACUUUCCAAGCUGUAUCUGAUGAUCUAGGGAAAGCCUGAUGCUUCCCAAGGAUCUUGAUACCUUUUCCCACCUCUGCUCAAGAUGUCCCUUCCAUUAGAAUGCUGUCUCCUGCUACUCCUCAGCUACAGGAACCCCAGGCCACCUCUCAGGUCUUGCUCAGAUGCUACCUUCUUCAGAUAGUCUUGUUUCUCUCCAGUAAGUGCACUAGGAACAGAGGUAAGUGCUUUUCUUUUCUUUUUUUUUCUUUUACAGGAAAAAAGAUAAUUUGCCACAUCUUUGUCAUUGUUUAAGACAUACUUUCUUCUUUGGAUGUGUGUGUGCAUAUACAUGCACACACACACACAUCACAUUACACACAUUAUGAUAAAUUGUGCAAAGGAGGAGGCAUUAUGGGGAAGACUUAGAAUUUGGGACUUCACUCCCACUAAUGCUUUUCUCAUUUACAAAAAUUGUUUUUACACAUCUACAUAUCCAUAUAGAUAUAAGCUUAGAUCUGUAUAUGUGCAUAUAUAUGUAUCUAUGUGUAUAGAUACAUAUAUAAAGAUUUUAACAAUUUAUUUUCUAUAGGUUGCCACUUUUAAGGUACAAGCUAAUCUUCUUACAGCAUUUAUAGGUUUCAGUUGACCACGCAUUUUAAUAGGGAGCUUGCAAGGAAAAGAUAACUGAGUCAUGCCUUGUGUAAACCUAUCAACCUCAGUUCAGAAUCUG